rnacentral:rRNA from 1 species
UACGGGGGGGGCAAGCGUUGUUCGGAAUUACUGGGCGUAAAGGGCUCGUAGGUGGCCAACUAAGUCGGACGUGAAAUCCCUCAGCUUAACUGGGGAACUGCGUCCGAUACUGGAUGGCUUGAGUUUGGGAGAGGGAUGCGGAAUUCCAGGUGUAGCGGUGAAAUGCGUAGAUAUGUGGAGGAACACCGAUGGCGAAGGCAGCCCCCUGGGCUAACACUGACGCUCAUGCACGAAAGCGUGGGGAGCAAACAGG